GGUUGGCAGUGGAAGUGUAGGUGUUUUGUUGGAGGUGUCUGUAUAUCUGAGGUAUUUUAAAGUGCCAGAACUUCAUGGAUCAACAAAAGGAUGUUGGCUGGACAAAUAACCAAGUGACUGCUGCUUCAGGCAAGAAAUGCUGGCUCAGAAGUGUGCCUACUCCAUCCAGAGAGAACAGAGCUCAUGUACCUACUGAAUUCAUGCUCUUAAUUCUAGAGGCUUUUGGUACGUGGUGGUUUGCUGGAAGUCAGAUUUCCUUAGCUCUCUGAAGGGACUCAUGGGGUCUAAUGUUUUUCUUGGUGUACAUCUGGAUCGGAAGAAAUAAUGUCUGCUCUUGCCUGGAUGCUCCUCUCUCUGAUGUGAAUUGGUGUUUGGGGAUACUGCUGCUGCCAUUCCAGAAGAGUGGCGAUUUCAAUACCUGACUGCAAGAGAAGGGUUAUGAAGGCUCGUCAUAACACAACAUCAUCAUGACAAUAACCCUGGUCUCAGCUGAAGUUUGGAUGUAGAAGGAAUUCAAUGUGGAACUUCAGUAGCUGCUCUCUGUAAGCAUUUCCCAAGCACUUGGAGUCCUGUGAAUUUUUCCUGGUGACACAAGAGAACUGUGUUUGUUAGGGUCUUAGAUGCCUGCCUUAGGGUGAGAUGAAGUGCCUCUGAAGAUGCAUGUUUCUUUCCAAUGAGAUAAAGGAACCCCGGCUUCAGAACAAGACAUCUGAAUUUAAAAUGCUAAAACAUGAAUCCCAACUGAGAUCCCUGGGAAGUCAGUCUGGCAAGGUUCAAGUGAUUUUUACUGUAAUUGUCUAGUCACAGAGAACUGGAUAGCAUUACAUUGUCUAUUCCUUUUUUUUUUUCUUUUUCAUGUUUCCGAAGUGACUUUAUAACCUCUUCUUGUUGAAGCUAAGCUAGGACAAUAACCACACACAGCUUAUAUAUACAUUUAAAGUAACACUUGAGAGUAAGCAAGGGACUACUGACAUAUUUACUGUUAAGCACAUGGCUAAAUUUCUGAAAAGAUGAAACUUGAGGGGAUUAGCUUAUAUGCUUAGGCAGUAAACUGAUUUCUUAAUGUAUGGAGUAUGCUUGGGAUUCUGGACAUGCCUAACAAUGCAGAGAGUGAACAAAAAAUAGACUUCUUCAAAGACACAGCAUCUAGAGAGAGCCAAAGGCAGAUGUCACUUCAUCAACUCCUUGAAGCCCCUUAUGGAAGAAGUGCGGUUUUGAGAACACAAGUAUUGUUAGAUAGCAUUCAGAAUAGUUGCAGGAAGACUGGCAAGGAAUAAAGACCAGGCAUUCAGUUUGAUGGCUUUAUAUUUGUACUUUGUAAAAAUGUAUUUUGAAAAGCAAGGAGUUUGGUUAUUAGGAUCUAACUUAAUAAUGUUUGUAACAAUCUCAUCUAGAAUUGUCCACUAUCAAGAUUUUAGUGAUUUGUUGUAGCCAACAAUGACCUUGCUUGCACUCUGUGCUUGUAAUAAUCUUCUAAUUACUAGAGCUCAAAAUCUCUGGGAGUAGUUUUAGAAAUGUCCUGGUCUACUGUCUAGAAGAAUCACUCCAUUUUGCAUAACUGAACACGAACGACCAGAGGAGUGGGGUUAGGAUGCAUGUUCUGGAGGCAUCUCUAGGUGCUAGAGGGUCACUGCUGUUCAGGUGGUCGUCAUCCUCGGAAGACGCUGUGUGUGGAAUCCCUUUCUGGUGUGGUGAUAUGAAGGUUCACUUUCUGUCCUCAUGUCCAGGGUCUGGAUACUUUUUCCUGGCACACAGAGCUGAGUGAAGCUAAGGCUUGCUCCUAUCCUGCAGCUACACAAGGGCAAGGGCUGAGGUACCAGCUGGAGCAUGUGACCUGAGCACAAUCUCCCAUGCUCUGAGAGGUGCUGGGCCAGGUCUUGACUCCCAAAAUAAGCAAGCAAAGCUAAUAAAGUGGAUAUGUAGCAAAAUCAGUGUGAAGCAGACUGUGUCAUUGCCUUCUCUCUGAAUAAUGCCAGCAGACAGAAGGAACUAAACCUGCACAUCUGAGUGGGGAGAACUUCUCAUUACCAAAAGCACUGAGAGGUGCAGGAAUAAAGCCCUAAUGAUGCCACUGAUAGCUUUUUUUGCAAGAGAAGUAGAUCAGUCUGUGUUAGAGAAGACUGAUAUAAAUCCCCACAAGAAUUUGAGUGAAAAACAAUGAUGCCAUUUUAGAUUUUUGCCCCAUUUUAUACCUGUGUCAUGGUCCUGGGCAUAAACAUCUUGUUCGUUUGGUACAGGUCACACAGCUCAAUGAAUAAAGGUAGCACAGCAUCUUUUUCCUCUUCGCCAUCCAUUUGUACUCUCCCUGGCAUCAGCUGCAGCACACAUUGCUGUGUGCAUAUAAUCACAUACCGGGGGGGUCAUUGAGUCCCUCCAUGUCUGACACAACUACAAGGCUGAGUUCUCCAGUACACGUGGAUAAAACCAUGCUAAAAUACAGACCAUGAGAUUCAGUAUAAAGUGAUUUCAGAUGUCUCCCAGCACUGCGCUGGUGUAUAAACAGCUGCAAUUGGAAAUUCUAAGCUACAGAAAAUGGGAGAUGGUAACCUCUUGUGCACAGGAUUUAAAACUAUAGGAUCAUUGACCUCAAAUGGUUUACGUAGCCUGGGAAAUCGAGAGUUAAGCAGCUUGCAAAGCUACAAAAGCCAGCCACUAGUCUGGAGAAUAGGAGCCUUCUUCUAGUUUUCCUGCUGAUAUUCAAUGUUGUUUCAAUCAAAGUACAGGUAGCACUUGAAGAAUGACAGAUCUUGUGAGCUUUAUAUACCAGAAUAAUGAGAUUAUGCUUCAUGACCCUGCUGCAUUUGACUUUUACAUUAGAGAAUAUGAUUCAGGAAUUCAU